UACCAGCUCCCUGAGUGGUAAGGACGAUUAUUUGGCCUAAAGCGUCCGUAGCCGGCUUAUCAAGUCUCUUGUUAAACCCAAUGAUUCAAUCAUUGAUCUGCAAGAGAUACUGUUAUGCUAGAGGACGGGGGAGGUCGACGGUAGUCCAGGGGUAGGGGUGAAAUCCUAUAAUCCUUGGAGGACCACCAGUGGCGAAGGCGGUCGACUAGAACGUGCCUGACGGUGAGGGACGAAAGCUGGGGGAGCGAACCGGAUUAGAUACCCGGGUAGUCCCAGCUGUAAACGAUGCGGGCUAGGUGUUGGGGUAGCUACGAGCUACUCCAGUGCCGCAGAGAAGUUGUUAAGCCCGCCGCCUGGGGAUACGGCCGCAAGGCUGAAACUUAAGGAAUUGGCGGGGGAGCACCACAAGGGGUGAAGGCUGCGGUUU
rnacentral:rRNA from 1 species